UAUUUUCGUAAAAUUUAAAGUUGAAUUGUUCAUCGCAAAAGUCAAUUAUUUGUUUUUAAAGUAUUUUUUGUCACUUUCAAUUAUACAUUUAAAAGUUCAUACUUUCCCCAUAAAAAUUGUCGAACUGUCAGAUCACAUAUUAAAAGCUCAGCACAAAAUUUUAGAUUGGGACACCUUAAGAAAAAAAUAAAUGUAUUACUCAUUUCACAUCAAGUGGUAAACUUGGGCAAAAAAGGCAUUUCAAGUGAUGGCAAAAUAUGUAUUAAUACUUAUUUAAUUACAUUUCAACCGCUUUCAACUGUUAUCAUGCAUAAGGACAAUCAAAUUAGCAACAAGUUAUUUAUAUAAAAUGCAAUUUCAUUUAUACUUAACUUUCGAAUACAUUUCUCACUGUGUAUUCAUCUCGUCUAAGCAUUCGGAGUUAUCGGUGUAUUUUUAUUCCGUCAUCGCAAAACAGAAGUAUCCGAAACUGGGUGACUUCUGAAACGCUAACCGGAUUCCAACGGGGGAAUGCAGAUCUCAAAUAAUCGGAUACUAAAGCAGAAUCGAUGCCGGCGAAAGAAUUGUUUAUAUCCAGAUGGUUUAUCGAAGGAAAAAAACAACCUUUUUCAGCACUAAGCGGAUACAAAAAGUGGGCAUUUUUUCUCAAAAUUGUAUAUUGCCAUCGAGUGGAAGCCGAUCAACAGGUCUAAAAAUGCAGACGAAACAAAAUUUGGAAACAAAUGGUUUACCGACGGAAAAGCAGAAUAGGAACAGUCUAUACACACAUGGCCACAGAAUAGUAAUGCUGUAAGUUCAAAAUGGAAUAUAAAUAAAAGAAUUUUCUCAUGAAUACAAAUGAAACUGUUAUUUAAAAUAAAAUGGAGGGAAACCCCGUGGGGAAGGGAUGGGUUGGCAGGUUUGGGAAAUUUUCGAUUAUUAACUAAAAAUUACACAUACUAUUUUUACAGUGCAAUCAUUUCAUUUGACAGUUCCACAAUUUAUUUUUAAAAGUUCGAACUUUUAAUUUCAGAACGGCAAGCUACUUUCAUACCAUGGUUGUUGCAAAAGUUAACGUACUUUUAUUUUGAACAUUCGCAACUCUCUACGAAAAAGAACCAACGCAACUUUUUAUUUUCACCAACGUUUUUUUUAAUUUUAAUAGUGUUUUUUCUUUCUGUGUAGGAGAUUUUCGGGUUGGAAGUUUUCUCGACUUUCCU